ACCACUACUGCUUGUUCGGGUAUAUCUUUGGAGAUCAUUUCGACGAAAUGAGUCACGUUAUUAUAAAACCAGUGCAGCGCUUGUCGCCCUCGGAAAAAGCUUUCGUAGAAAGAAAUGUACGUCUGUUGGCCCAUCUGUCCACAUGUAAGACAAGGAACUGUGGAGAGUCUGGUUGUUCCGAACUAAGAGAGUUCUUGCGUCAUGGUGCAUUUUGUAAGAUGGGAAUCAAGCAGAAUUGCCAAAAAUGUAUUAAUAUUGUAGCUCUUGCUGUAUAUCAUGACGAGCAGUGCAAUCAGGCCGAAGGCUGUCAAUUCAAACUGUGCCGUAAAAAAAUUAGACCGACGUAUCACGUUGUGCCCGAAAAUCCAAAUCUGUUUUAGUCACUUGGGAACGAGCAACUUAUAAUUUAUGAAAGUUGAUCUGUAGUUCGUGAAUUAAAUAAAAGUUCAUUCAUAUAUUCUGUGUAUUUUGUACGAAUACCUUAUGGUGCGAUGUUAUAAUGUGUACGUAGAUGAAAUAGAUUAUAUUGUCCAGAAAAAUCCAUACGAUUUGUUAAGUAUUCAUGAUAUAAAAAUGGUAUACAAAGGUUAAAAUAAUAAUCGACCAAUGACCAAGUAAAUGAAAUGAAAAGAUGAUCUGUAGACGAAGACGAACAAGUUAUUUUCGAGGAAGCUCGUAGAAAGUUACUAAAGGUGAAUAAUCGUUACAAAGUGUAAUUGUUUCGUUAUUAUUCUCAUCUUGCGCAUUUUGUAAACUGUAUGAUUCAACUUGCCUUGUGAUAUUGAAACAUCAAUGACAGAUCAAAGAUCGAAGAAAAAAUUACAAGCCGAGCUCGCCGAUUUGAAUUUCGACUUGGAAGCUUAGCGUUCGAAAGUUAUGGAAUCAGAGAAGAAACAGCGUAACUUCGACAAAGGGUUGGCAGAAGAAAAAGUAAUCUAUUGUUAUGAUUAUUAUUUUCAAAUCAUCCCGUUCGAACGAAAAUUUUAAUUUGGCCUGUUUCUCAGGCUGUGACCGAACAAACAGCCAACGAAGGAGACGCCGUCGAAUGCGAAGAUUUGGAUGAUAGAAACAGCGGACAAAAACGUGCACGAAUUAGAGAAAGCUAAACGCAGGAAGAUGCCAAAUUACGCUUAGAAGUCAAUAUGCAAGCUUUGAGAACGCAAUUUGAAAGCGAUCUACAGCCUAAAGAAGAUUAA